GUCCCUGUAGCGCAAUGGAUAACGCGUUGUACUUCUAAUCCAAAGUACGAAUCCCACCUGGGAUG